rnacentral:rRNA from 1 species
GGAGUUAGGAAAUGUAAGUGUGCUAAUACCACAUUUAUUUGACGAAGGCUCCAAAGGAAGCCACGGCUAACUCUGUGCCAGCAGCCGCGGUAAUACAGAGGUGGCAAGCGUUGUUCGGAAUUAUUGGGCGUAAAGAGCACGUAGGUGGGCUUGUAAGUCAGAUGUGAAAGCCUUCUGUUCAACGGAAGAAUUGCAUCUGAAACUGCGAGUCUUGAGUGUAGGAGGGGAGAGUGGAACUUCUG